AGCUGAGUUUGCAAUUUAAUAAACAGAUGCAAACAACAGUCUUUGGAGAUCAACAGUUAAAAAUAAAUUAAGUAGAAGACUCCCCACAUCACAAUGGGAACAACUGGAAUAGCCUCCAGCAACAUGCAGGAGAGUCACAAGAGUUCUCAAAAGUGCACACAGUUUGUGGAGUUUUUCUUGAAGACAAUGGAAACAUUCCCCUGGACAUAGUAGAUUGCUGCUGGAGACAGAAUCACAGCACAGGGCAGUAUCAAGCAGAAAAAAAUUAAUCAGACUGCAAAAUGUUGUGUUCCAAGACAUAAGCAAUUACUCCCAAAAUAUUUCCAAAACCCAAAAUGAACAGAUGAGUGAUUUAUAGCUUUUAACAUAUGUAAAAGUCCUGAUUCUCAUCUCAGCUGGUAUGAAAUGUCUAAAGCUUUUAAUGACAGAGGAUUUGAUC